rnacentral:rRNA from 1 species
UAGCUAGUUGGUGAGGUAACGGCUUACCAAGGCGACGAUCUGUAGCGGGUCUGAGAGGAUGAUCCGCCACACUGGAACUGAGACACGGUCCAGACUCCUACGGGAGGCAGCAGUGGGGAAUUUUGGACAAUGGGGGCAACCCUGAUCCAGCCAUGCCGCGUGAGUGAAGAAGGCCUUCGGGUUGUAAAGCUCUUUCGGCCGGGAAGAAAUCGCAUGGGCCAAUACCCUGUGUGGAUGACGGUACCGGAAUAAGAAGCACCGGCUAACUACGUGCCAGCAGCCGCGGUAAUACGUAGGGUGCGAGCGUUAAUCGGAAUUACUGGGCGUAAAGCGUGCGCAGGCGGUUUUGUAAGACAGGCGUGAAAUCCCCGGGCUCAACCUGGGAACUGCGUUUGUGACCGCAAGGCUAGAGUACGGCAGAGGGGGGUGGAAUUCCACGUGUAGCAGUGAAAUGCGUAGAGAUGUGGAGGAACACCAAUGGCGAAGGCAGCCCCCUGGGUCGAUACUGACGCUCAUGCACGAAAGCGUGGGUAGCAAACAGGAUUAGAUACCCUGGUAGUCCACGCCCUAAACUAUGUCAACUAGGUGUUGGGUGGGUAAAACCAUUUAGUACCGUAGCUAACGCGUGAAGUUGACCGCCUGGGGAGUACGGCCGCAAGGUUAAAACUCAAAGGAAUUGACGGGGACCCGCACAAGCGGUGGAUGAUGUGGAUUAAUUCGAUGCAACGCGAAAAACCUUACCUACCCUUGACAUGCCAGGAACUUGCCAGAGAUGGCUUGGUGCCCGAAAGGGAGCCUGGACACAGGUGCUGCAUGGCUGUCGUCAGCUCGUGUCGUGAGAUGUUGGGUUAAGACCCGCAACGAGCGCAACCCUUGUCGUUAAUUGCCAUCAUUUAGUUGGGCACUUUAGCGAGACUGCCGGUGACAAACCGGAGGAAGGUGGGGAUGACGUCAAGUCCUCAUGGCCCUUAUGGGUAGGGCUUCACACGUCAUACAAUGGUCGGUACAGAGGGUCGCCAAGCCGCGAGGUGGAGCCAAUCCCAGAAAGCCGAUCGUAGUCCGGAUUGCAGGCUGCAACUCGCCUGCAUGAAGUCGGAAUCGCUAGUAAUCGUGGAUCAGCAUGUCACGGUGAAUACGUUCCCGGGUCUUGUACACACCGCCCGUCACACCAUGGGAGCGGGUUCCGCCAGAAGUAGGUAGCCUAACCGCAAGGAGGGCGCUUACCACGGCGGGGUUCGUGACGGGGGUGAAGUCGGAACAAGGUAGCCGUAGGGGAACCUGCGGCUG